rnacentral:rRNA from 1 species
GAUGAACGCUGGCGGCGUGCCUAGUACAUGCAAGUCGAGCGAACGGACGAGAAGCUUGCUUUUCUGAUGUUAGCGGCGGACGGGUGAGUAACACGUGGAUAACCUACCUAUAAGACUGGGAUAACUUCGGGAAACCGGAGCUAAUACCGGAUAAUAUUUUGAACCGCAUGGUUCAAAAGUGAAAGACGGUCUUGCUGUCACUUAUAGAUGGAUCCGCGCUGCAUUAGCUAGUUGGUAAGGUAACGGCUUACCAAGGCAACGAUGCAUAGCCGACCUGAGAGGGUGAUCGGCCACACUGGAACUGAGACACGGUCCAGACUCCUACGGGAGGCAGCAGUAGGGAAUCUUCCGCAAUGGGCGAAAGCCUGACGGAGCAACGCCGCGUGAGUGAUGAAGGUCUUCGGAUCGUAAAACUCUGUUAUUAGGGAAGAACAUAUGUGUAAGUAACUGCGCACAUCUUGACGGUACCUAAUCAGAAAGCCACGGCUAACUACGUG